GUCCCAUGGUCUAGUGGUCAGGACAUUGGAUUCUGAAUCCAGUAAUCUGAGUUCAAGUCUCACUCAGGACA